rnacentral:lncRNA from 1 species
UAAAACGUAAGAAACAUUUUACAUUUACUUUUACAUGGGUAAAUGUAAGAAACAUUAAACUAAGUUAAAAACAUUUAACUUAAGUAAAAGCAAAAGUUAUUCUUUUACUUUUACUUUUACUUUUACAUUUACUAAAGUAAAAGACUUUUGCUUUACGGAAAGCAAAAGCUGAUGAUGGCUGGGGCCAUCACUGUCGGUUGACUGAAGACUCCUCUGGUGUCUUCUU